AAAAUUGCACAACGUACAAAAACGUGACCAAAUGACAUACAAUCGUCAAAUAUACAUUAGCGUAGGGUCGGUUACGCUGUAAUUACCUUUCACUAACAGGAAGUAGCACAACAAUGGACUCUUGCUUCGUCGUGACGUCUAAAUUUAUACACGUCUCAGUUAACUGAUUGUCUUUGAAAGGCUAAAGAUAGAAAUUUGUGGAAAAGGCAUGGCGCUGCUUCAUUGUUUGGUACCGGAAAUGCUUCAUCGUGCUCAUAAAAGCGGGACAACAAAUCGUCAUGCAUUCAGUAGAUAAUAAUAAAUAAGACACAGUCUGUGAGGAAAGAUUUUUCUACCUGAUCCCGGGAAGUCCCUUUUGGACUUUUUAGUUACGCGGGUUUACCCCAAAGUGAUUCAACAUCAUCAGGCCUCCCUCCUCCAUCUUGCGUAUAAAAGGCGACUGCCAGGUAGCGAAUUUGGUCAGCGAUAUUGAUUCAGCGGUUCGAGAUGGAUGUCAAUGACGACGAUAGUUGGUCAUUCGUUUACAUUGUUCGAAGGCCGAUUGAAGAUGGAAAAACUCGCCAAUCUAUUCGAUGAUUGUCCAGCGGAAAUUCAUCACAUACGGGAAAAACGAAAGGAUUGACUGUUUUAAUUGAGAUUGGAGUUUCUGAAGUCAAGGUAUCAUAAUUUCUUCUACAAUCUCACGGUCUGUGAACAAAAUCAUCAGCCCUCACCUCCUAACACUGCUGAACUUUUUCAAAUAGUUGCUGACUCAUUUUGUAACCUUCGGAAUUUUAUUGUCUAUGAAUCUGUGUCCCGUAAUUCGGGGAAUUUUUUCAGGAAUACAUUUCGCGUUUGGCCGAGCUCAAGGCUUUUUCUAAAUGGGCGCUGCCUUGGUUUUUA